rnacentral:snoRNA from 1 species
UGGACCAAUAAUGAAAAUUUGUCAUGAACUGAGGAUUAUGAAUAAUCCAAUUCUGUGCACUUGAGCACACUU